rnacentral:rRNA from 1 species
AACGAACGCUGGCGGCAAGCUUAACACAUGCAAGUCGAACGCCGUAGCAAUACGGAGUGGCAGACGGGUGAGUAACACGUGGGAACGUGCCUUUCGGUUCGGAACAACUGAGGGAAACUUCAGCUAAAACCGGAUACGCCCUUCGGGGGAAAGUUUACGCCGAAAGAUCGGCCCGCGUCAGAUUAGGUAGUUGGCGGGGUAAUGGCCCACCAAGCCGAUGAUCUGUAGCUGUUCUGAGAGGAAGAUCAGCCACACUGGGACUGAGACACGGCCCAGACUCCUACGGGAGGCAGCAGUGGGGAAUAUUGGACAAUGGGCGCAAGCCUGAUCCAGCUAUGCCGCGUGGAUGAAGAAGGCCUUCGGGUUGUAAAGUCCUUUCGGCGGGGAAGAUAAUGCCGGUACCCGCAGAAGAAGCCCCGGCUAAUUUCGUGCCAGCCGCCGCAGUAUAC